GAUGCCCGACCAGAGCUGUAGGGUGUGCUAUGAGUGUGACUCUCAGUUUACUGUGUUUAACCGUCGACAUCAUUGCCGUCUCUGUGGCCGAGUUUUCUGUGCAAAAUGUGCAUCGAACUCUAUUCCUGUCUCAAAUGAGGAGCCCAAGGCCGGCCAGGAAGAUGGAGACAGGAUUAGAGUAUGUAGCUUCUGUUUUAAGAAAUGGCAGCAGGGCUUAGCUACGGUUGAUAGUAGGAUGAACCUUCCUUGUCCGGGACUCAGUCCAUCUCCUUCCACAACAAGUUUGGCCAGCAGCCAGUCUGGCUGUACUUGUAAUAGUGGUAGUAGCGGUAGUUCAACUGUUUACCCCACAGGACCAUAUCAAUAUGUACCAUGCAGCUCAUGUCAAAGUGCUUCUCAAUCAGCUCAGUUGGGUCAGGCAGCUCUCCAGCAAGAUCAAGCAACAUCUAUGGGGAAUCCAGAAUUCAGUCAUUUUAUCUCUUGCUACAGGAGUGAUGAUGAAGAUGAUGAUUACGGUGUGUGUGGAUCACAUUCUGAGCCAAGACACUUUACUGCAACAGAUGUCUAUUAUGGUGCUUUCAACUACAAGGAGAUGAAUGAUAUCUGUGGACCAAACAAUGGUCAACCUGCUGAGAUUGAAUCAAGUAGUGUAAAUUCCUCAUCACUGACAGAGAACUGUGAAUGGAAGAACUCAGAAGGGAUGAAAGAACUUGCAAAAGAAAUAGAUAGUUGUAUCAAUCGUGUCGAGCAUGAAGAGCCUCCUCCUUAUGAUGUGAAUGACACAGAUAAUGCACCUGUUGAUUUUGAGAGUAGUUAUUUACUCUGGUUGCCACCAGAGCCAGAAACAGAAGAGGAUGAUAGAGAAUCUCUUUCAUUUGAUGAGGAUGAUGAUUGUAGUGAAGAAGCGCCAGGGGAAUGGGGUUAUAUGGAUUCAUCAUGGAACUUAGCUGAUGGAGAGUACCAUAAUAGGUCAACCGCGGAGCAUAGGAAGGCAAUGAAAAAUGUGGUUGAUGGACAUUUUAAAUCUUUGAUUGUGCAGCUUUUGCAAGUUGAACAUAUUCCUCCAGCUGAGGAGGAUAAUAGUGAGAGUUGGUCGGAGAUAGUCACAUCUUUAUCCUGGGAAGCUGCCACACUCCUAAAGCCUGACAUGAGUCAGAAUGGAGGAAUGGAUCCUUGUGGAUAUGUGAAGAUUAAAUGCAUUGCAAGUGGACAUCGUAGAGAAAGUAUGGUGGUUAAAGGCGUUGUUUGUAAGAAAAAUGUGGCGCACCGACGAAUGAACUCAAAAUUCAAAAAGCCUAGACUCCUAAUUCUUGGAGGAGCACUGGAAUAUCAAAGGGUGGCUAAUCACUUGUCAAGUUUUGACACUUUAUUGCAGCAGGAAAUGGACCAUCUGAAGAUGGCUGUUGCAAAGAUUGAUGCUCAUCAUCCAAACAUUUUGUUAGUAGAGAAAUCAGUAUCUCGAUUUGCGCAGGAAUACCUGCUUGUGAAAAACAUAUCUCUAGUUCUCAAUGUGAAGCGGCCGCUUUUAGAGCGUAUUGCCCGUUGUACAGGUGCACAAGUAGUCCCUUCAAUUGAUAAUCUUACAACGCCAAAGUUAGGGUACUGUGAUUCAUUUCAUGUUGAUAAGUUUGUGGAAGAGCAUGGUAGUGCUGGGCAAGCUGGAAAGAAACUGACAAAGACCUUGAUGUUUUUCGAAGGAUGCCCAAAGCCUUUUGGCUGUACUAUUUUGCUCAAGGGUGCCAAUGGGGACGAUUUGAAGAAAAUAAAACGUGUUAUCCAAUAUGGAGUUUUUGCUGCUUAUCACCUGGCUCUGGAGACAUCUUUUCUUGCAGAUGAAGGUGCUUCCUUGCCAGAGCUCCCUUUGAAGUCCCCACUUAAAGUUGCAUUGCCUGAUAAGCCAUCAACUAUGCAAAGAUCCAUUUCUGUCAUUCCUGGUUUCUCCGUACCAGUAGCCCAGAGACCGCACGAUCACCAUUCUCCUGGCACACCAUCUCAUUCCUCAACCAAACCGUUGUCUGGUAUUACAUCACCAUCCAAUAGUGCUCCAAUGCUUGUUGAACAGUCAAGUUUUCCCGAAUGUUAUAACUCAUUACCUAGUGCUACAACUGCCUCAAAUAAUGUCGACUUUUCUGAUUGUCCUAAUUCCUCGCAUCAUUCGAGGCGUCAGUUCUCAGAUCAAGCUGAUGGGAGGAAUGAAAUGGCUCCAAAUGACCCUCAUGAAGCAUCUCCACUAGACAGAGGUGAAGAUGCAAGAAAUGAUUAUAUACUUAAUUUUCCUAGCAAUUCCUUGAGGGAUACUGGUAGCUUUUCUCAUGUUGUGGGAGGUUUUCGCACGGUACACUUAUCUUCAGAAUUGGUGCUACCAGAAUUUGAUAAUAGUUACUUCGAGGAGUUAGGGUCACUACAGCAAGAUUAUCCUUCCUCACCUUCCGACCAACUGAUUAUUGUAGUAUGCCUUUCAACACGCUGUGUUUGGAAAGGAACUGUUUGUGAGCCACCUCAUAUUUCUCGAAUAAAAUUUUAUGGGAUUACCGAUAUGCCUUUGGGACGGUUUUUACGAGACCGGUUGUUUGAUGAGAAUUUUAGGUGUCCCUCAUGUGAAAUGCCUCCAGAAGCACAUGUUCGUUGCUAUACUCAUCGGCAAGGCAGCCUCACAAUUUCUGUAAAGAAGCUACCUGAAUGUAUCUUGCCAGGAGAACAGGAAGGAAAGAUAUGGAUGUGGCACAGAUGUCUGCGAUGUCCUCGGGACAAUGGUUUCCCUCCUCCAACCAGGAGGGUAGUAAUGUCUAAUGCUGCUUGGGGGUUGUCAUUUGGGAAAUUUUUGGAACUCAGUUUUUCAAAUCAUGCAGCAGCGAGCAGGGUUGCAAGUUGUGGUCAUCUUCUUCACCGGGACUGUCUCCGGUUCUAUGGGUUUGGGAAAAUGGUAGCUUGUUUUCGAUAUGCUCCUGUUCAUGUUUAUUCUGUCUUUCUCCCACCUCCAAAACUCGAAUUUAGCUAUGAUAAUCAGGAGUGGAUUCAGAAAGAAGGUGAUGAGGUGCGCAGAAGGGCUAAUGCGUUGUUUGCUGAGGUGUCCAAAGUUCUUCAUGUCAAGUUGGAAAAAUUCUCUGUUGAUAGCAGCUUGAAAGCACCCAAGACAAGUGAGCAGAUCACAGAGAUGGAAGAAAUAUUAGAGAAGGAGAAAACUGAGUUUGAGGGAUUAUUACGCAAGGCACUUAGCAGGGAGAUCAAAGUUGGUCAGCCUACAGUUGACAUCCUUGAGAUAAAUCAACUGAGAAGGCAGUUGGUUUUUCAUGCUUAUCUAUGGGACAGACGUUUGAUACAUCUUUCCAGUUCUCAUGGUAAAAAUUCCCGAACUCCGGGCAGUUUGACACAACUGAAGGAGAAACCCCUCAGCUCUAGUGAGGAACUUCCUGAAAGGACUGCAAUUUUGAGACCUGGAAAAAGUUUGGGGAGCUAUGAUUCAGCUCUUCAGAAUGUGAAGACUGAAAUAACAUCUAGUGAAGGAAGACAUGGUCAGAUUCCUGAUGGGGUUCACGAAAGAUUGACUACUGAUGAGAACCUAACUCACGGGAAAGACUGCGAGAUUUUCUGUGCUAUAAGAAAUACAGGAGAUGGUAAUGUACUGGAACCUGGAAAAAAUGUCAGACGUGUUCUUUCAGAUGCAAAGUUCCCGUCUGUGGGAAGUUUAUCCGACACUCUUGAUGCUGCAUGGACCGGUGAAAGCCACCUGGCUAUUAAAGAGCAUAACAGUGCAUUUCCAGGUUCGUUCGUUGUAGAUUCUACUGCUUUGACUGGAGUUUCAGCAAAUACAGAUGUCGAAAGGUCUCUGUGUGACAAAAAUGGGGCUGAAAUACCUCAUUUAUCUGCUAAGUCUGACAACACAGAUUACCUGACCUGGGCAACGGCACAUUUCUCAAAUUUCUAUCGUUCGUUCAACAAGAAUAUCACAGCAAAUCCACAAUAUGUUGCUAAAUUGAAUGAGCAUAAUCCUGUUUAUAUCUUGUCGUUUAGCGAAUUGCUACAUCAAGGUGGUGCCAGGCUUCUUACAGCUGUUGGUGAAAAUGACAUUGUUAUUCCAGUUUAUGAUGAUGAGCCGACAAGUAUCAUCUCAUAUGCACUUGUCUCACCAGAUUACCGCAAUCAAAUGUCAGAUGAAUCUCAAAACCUGAAAGAAAAUCACAAGUUUUCAGCUUCUUUGUCAUUUCUGGAUUCAUUAAAUCUACUUCCGCUUCACUCUGUGGAUGGAGUAGUUUCGGAAUCUCCAAGAAGUUUUGGAUCUACCAACGAAAGCAUGUCAUCGGGUUAUAGUUCUCGCAGCUCAAACAUGGAUCCACCAGCAUAUAUUAAUGCUUUGCAUGCCCGAAUAUCUUUCUCAGAUGAUGGCCCUCCUGGAAAGGUUAAGUACACAGUCACCUGCUAUUAUGCGAAGCAAUUCGAGACCUUGAGAAAGUCUUGUUGCCCCAAUGAAUCAGACUUUAUACGUUCCCUUAGCCGAUGCAAAAAAUGGGGUGCUCAGGGUGGGAAGAGCAAUGUUUUCUUUGCCAAAACCUUGGACGACCGAUUUAUCAUCAAGCAGGUAACGAAGACAGAGUUGGAGUCAUUUAUCAAGUUUGCACCAGCUUACUUUAAGUAUUUAUCUGACUCAAUAGCUAGUGGGAGCCCAACUUGCUUGGCAAAGAUUCUGGGGAUCUACCAGGUUACAUCAAAGCAUCUCAAAGGUGGGAAAGAAUCAAGAAUGGAUGUGCUUGUUAUGGAAAAUCUUCUUUUUAAGCGCAACAUCACUAGACUGUAUGACCUCAAAGGGUCGUCUCGAUCACGCUAUAAUCCAGAUUCAAGUGGAAGUAACAAAGUUUUACUUGAUCAGAACUUGAUUGAAGCAAUG
rnacentral:misc_RNA from 1 species